rnacentral:rRNA from 1 species
GGGUGCGUAACACGUAUACAAUCUACCUUAAACAGGGGGAUAGCCUUUCGAAAGAGAGAUUAAUACCCCGUAAUAAAUUUGAUGGCAUCAUUAGAUUUUGAAAGCUCCGGCGGUUUGAGAUGAGUAUGCGUCUGAUUAGCUAGUUGGUGUGGUAAUGGCUCACCAAGGCGACGAUCAGUAGGGGAUCUGAGAGGACUACCCCCCACACUGGUACUGAGACACGGACCAGACUCCUACGGGAGGCAGCAGUAAGGAAUAUUGGUCAAUGGGGGCAACCCUGAACCAGCCAUGCCGCAUGCAGGAUGACGGCCCUAUGGGUUGUAAACUGCUUUUAUACCAGAGAAAACCCGAGUACGUGUACUCGGUUGAUAGUAUGGUAAGAAUAAGCAUCGGCUAACUUCGUGCCAGCAGCCGCGGUAAGACGAAGGAUGCAAGCGUUAUCCGGAUUCAUUGGGUUUAAAGGGUGCGUAGGCGGACUUGUAAGUCAGUGGUGAAAUCUCUUUGCUUAACAGAGGAACUGCCAUUGAUACUGCAGGUCUAGAGUAUAGAUGACGUUGGCGGAAUAUGACAUGUAGUGGUGAAAUACUUAGAUAUGUCAUAGAACACCGAUUGCGAAGGCAGCUAACGAAACUAUAACUGACGCUGAGGCACGAAAGUGCGGGGAUCAAACAGGAUUAGAUACCCUGGUAGUCCGCACCGUAAACGAUGAUUACUCGUUGUUGGCAAUAUGACCGUCAGCGACCAAGCGAAAGCGAUAAGUAAUCCACCUGGGGAGUACGCCGGCAACGGUGAAACUCAAAGGAAUUGACGGGGGCCCGCACAAGCGGAGGAGCAUGUGGUUUAAUUCGAUGAUACGCGAGGAA